GGGCAAGUAGCUGAAUAUAAUAGAACCAUCAUCUAUCUUUGUUAAGUCUUACAGGCAAGAAGAAGCAAGAAGGAAGAAAAUGCCAUCGUUGUCAUCUUGUGUCUGGAAUCUGUGGGUUCUUGGUCUCACUGACUUCAAGAAUGAAGCCGUGGACCCUCGCGCAACGCAAGAAUGGACUAAGAUGACUAUCCUCCCACCUCUAAUCUGUUGCUGGUGUCUGCCACUGGUCAAAUCCAGUCAGAAAACAGAAGGUUGCCUAUCUAUUUCAUCUCCCCUUCUACUAGCCUAUGAAUUCACUGAGAGCUGAGACUUGGCUAUUCAUUAUUUAUCAAGCAAAAUACCUAUAUUGGUUUCCACACCAUUA